rnacentral:rRNA from 1 species
UGGGGAAUCUUGCACAAUGGGGGCAACCCUGAUGCAGCGACGCCGCGUGAGCGAUGAAGCCCUUCGGGGCGUAAAGCUCUUUCGACCGGAACGAUAAUGACGGUACCGGGAGAAGAAGCUGCGGCUAACUACGUGCAAGAAGCCGCGGUAAUACGUAGGCAGCAAGCGUUGUUCGGAGUUACUGGGCGUAAAGAGUGCGUAGGCGGUUUUCUAAGUUCGGUGUGAAAUCUCCCGGCUUAACUGGGAGGGUGCGCCGAAGACUGGGAAGCUGGAGUGUGGGAAAGGCAGGCGGAAUUCCUGGUGUAGCGGUGAAAUGCGUAGAUAUCAGGAGGAACACCGGCGGUGUAGACGGCUUGCUAAACCAUAACUGACGCUGAGGCACGAAAGCGUGGGUAGCAAACA